rnacentral:misc_RNA from 1 species
AUAAAUUUAAGCUCAAUUAUAUUAAUUAAUAAUCUCAAAAACUUACAAAUUUGACUCGAAAGAUCUGGAGUAAAUUAUUUGAUGCCAAGUUGAAUACAUAACAAGGAUCUCUGUUGACUAAAUAAUCAUAAAAGCUCUUUGGCCAGCCUCCAAUCACUAAGAAUUCCAAUAUUAGGACAUUACAAAGGAACAAAACCUUCAGACUAGGCAAAACUCAAUAGUUAGCCACUAUCUUAUCAGGGUAAUCAUCAGAGCUUGCUAAGACGAAACUAAUAUAGCUUCUUCCUUCCUCAGCUUUCUUCUGUUCAGCCAGCCCAGCGUACAUCUGUUGUCUGAAUUGCUUACGAGCCUCUCGUUCUGAUAGUUUUAAAUCUUUGAAACCCUGCUCAAACUUGGCUUCAUCUUCAGGUGAAAAGAAGGCAACCUCCAUCUUCCCAAGCUCUUCAUACAUUUUUUCAAUCUUGGCUUUCCAGAAGAGGCCCAUUUCUGUGUCCAUUUUCUGGUAAGGAGUUCUCAGUAGGUACUCGUCGAUCCCUCCUGCCUUGUCUAUGCAACGAAGGGCAUGAGUGGUGACUUUGACUCUAACGUGUCGGUCUAAGAUAUAACUAAAGAGUCUCUUCUCUUGGACAUUUGGUUUCCAAGUCCUCCUACUCCUAUCAUCACCAUUUACCAACACACAAUGCACUUCAGCCUGUUAGACUCCUUUUUUUUUUAUUUUUUAGUUUUUUAUAACAAACUUAUAGCAGACACCCGAAAACUGAAACAUGAAAACACAACAAGCAAUAAAUCUUUUCAUGUAACUCAGGCUAGCAACAGCGAAAGUAAAUACCAAACAGCAUUCAACAUUAUCUACAACUGCUAUGUGUAGAAAUAACACUUUGUACCAGUUCACCCAGCCACAACAACAGAAAAUCAUGACAAUGACAUGUAUAUUCUAAACCUGCUAGCCAUAUACUUAGCUUUCCAUGGACCAUAAUACAUGCUAUCUUUAUAAUAUGGCAAUCAAAAAUAGUACAGCAUUACUCACAAGCAAGUCACCUCUGCUCAAGCUCAAAUCAUUGAGGCUGUGGAACAAAAAUUUGAAAUUUGAUCUAUAAUUCAUCUAAACCCAAAUAUCAAACAAGAAACUCUGAAAACAACCAUAUGCAAGGGAAUUAGCACCUCAAAAGAUAGUGAUAAGUCAUCUCAUCAAGCACCUUGGUUGGACAAGGACCAAUUAGACGAUUGAAUAAGUUUUUUUGAGUCACUCUAAGCAUAUAAACAUUUUCAACACCACCACCUUUUCUGGUAAUAACCCUGUCGUAGAGUUCAUUCAUUACAUGAUCUGUCUGCUCAUGCAUGCAGCAGUUUUGCUUCUAACCCUAGUUAAGCAAAUUAAGUUAGGAGUUACAGUCCAAUAAGGCAUCAUUGCAUCAAUUGCCAAAGUGUUUCUUUAUGUGUCAUUUACACAUAUUCGAAAGUUUUCUUCAAUACAUACUCUCCAUUGUAUUAUCCAACUAUACUGAACCAAAGAUCAAUGUGCACCUUCCAAAGAAACUUUUAGCCUUUCUUGUUAUAACUCCAAAUUUCUAUCCAUCAGCAGCAAUAUCAAAUGAUUCUUCAUGCAAAGGGAAGAUAAUAAAUAAGCAUACACAAACUAACAUACUAGGCAAUCAACACCAUUUCAGAGUCAAUAAUAUUAACACCAACACUAUCAUCCACACAAUUAAUCAUGUGCGGCGCCCUCAAUUCAUCCACAGGUCAUUGACCAGUCAUCACAAGAUCAGAUAUUCUCCAAACCCGAAAAAUUGGAACUCUCGAUUUCCCUAAAAAUGAAAUUUCUAAGCAAUACAAAGCAUGGACAGAAAGAGAGAACGAACUUGUUACCACCAUCUUCACUGAUGCGAUUGCCGAACUGGAUGUGGCGACCGGCGAAAAGGCCACGCUUCGCUCGGCCCAUAACGACCUUGCUAUCAGGUAUGGAUUUCUUGAGAGAUUCCUCGACUCCAGGUGUCAAAGUUUUUUCUCCUACCUUUUUCAU